rnacentral:hammerhead_ribozyme from 1 species
AUCCUUCCGACGAGUCCCAAAUAGAACGAAACGCGUGUCCUGGAU